AAGAAAUUGAGAGAUGGACGGAGCUCUGCCGGCCUGGAGAGACGGAGACGGUGCAGACAGAGACGACAGCUGGCACAAAGCAGCAGGGGAGACAGACAGAUUCUCUCCAUGACCCACGAGCUCAUCAGCCUCCUUUGGAACUGCUGAGUCGACCAGGAAAUAAAGCAGCAGAUUUGCAGGAGCCCACACUGUUUUAAUUAAUUCCCCUUAAUAUUAACAGAGGAGGUUGGGAGCCUGCCUUGGAAUGUGGUAGAAAUAACCCACCACAGAAGAAAUAGCCUGUGAGCUGAAGAACUUGCUGCUAAUGUUGGCUUUUU
rnacentral:lncRNA from 1 species